rnacentral:tRNA from 2 species
GGACCAUUAGCUCAGUUGGUUAGAGCAACCGCCUCAUAAGUGGUCGGCCCGGGGUUCAAGUCCCUGAUGGUCCA